rnacentral:lncRNA from 1 species
UUUGGACCAGUUCUCUCACUCUACAGGUGAUUAGAGUUUGUGUUUUUUUUGCUUAUAUUGUUGUUGUUUCGAUGAAUCUGUUUGUUCUCUCUAACUCUCUAACUUAAAAACUUGAUUUGUGCAUAAUAUUUGAUUACUUUGGGUUGAUCUUUGGAAACUGGAAUGUGACUUUUGCUACCCCUGCAUGAACCGUGAUUUUUGGAACUUAGGUAAAGACACAACUUAUGAUUUUGCUCUGUUUUCACUCUGUUCCUUCAUCUCUUUCCCGCAACAUAAGCUACUAUACAUUAUGCUUUGUUAGUUGUUUGAAAUAUUGAGUUUUAUGUCGGUUUCUUUUUUGGUUUAUGUUAGAAAUAUUGAGUUUUAUGUCAGUUUUUUUUCCUGCUAUGUUAUCUGAUAUUGAGUUGAAAAUAGAUGAAUUAAAUUAAGAAUUUUUCACUUUAUUAUAACUAUAUAAUAAUUUUGAUUUAAUUGAAUAAUUAAAUUUACCUGCUUGUUUAGGCACAGAACUCCAGCAUCCAUGGCCAUAUUUUGUUAUAUGCCUUAGUAAUUUUUCAUCUUCUUCUGGUGACCAUAGUCCCUUCCUAAGCUUCUGCUUGUAGCAGCAAGAGUGUCUUCCCAUUUGUGAGUUUUCAAGUUUGUUUAAUGAAGCAAUGAUUUAGUGAUAGAGAGAAUUGAAGGAAGGAAAAUGAAGUGGCAACUAAGAAAAUGAG